rnacentral:lncRNA from 1 species
UUUUGAUUGGACUACUUAUAUCGUAGUAAUAUAUCUCAUUAGUAAUUUAAUCUAAUAUGCUUAAACUAUCCAUAUUGGAUUCAUUUAUCAUAGUUCAUUAAAAAAAUAGUAAAUGCACAAUUUCAUGCUCCUCAAACUUAUAACUGUUAUCUUGCAAGAUCAAGAACAACAUAUCAAAUUCAUUCUUCUAGUGAAGCUCCUAGCGUGAUGUGUGAAGUAAAUUGAAGCCAUUCAGCUAUAGUAAUAAUUUUAAUUUUAUUCAUAUAGUUAGUUAUUUAUCAUAAAGAAAACAAUAUAAGAAAAACACAUCUAUAAUAAAA